rnacentral:rRNA from 1 species
UAGGGAAUCUUCGGCAAUGGACGAAAGUCUGACCGAGCAACGCCGCGUGAGUGAAGAAGGUUUUCGGAUCGUAAAACUCUGUUGUUAGAGAAGAACAAGGACGUUAGUAACUGAACGUCCCCUGACGGUAUCUAACCAGAAAGCCACGGCUAACUACGUGCCAGCAGCCGCGGUAAUACGUAGGUGGCAAGCGUUGUCCGGAUUUAUUGGGCGUAAAGCGAGCGCAGGCGGUUUCUUAAGUCUGAUGUGAAAGCCCCCGGCUCAACCGGGGAGGGUCAUUGGAAACUGGGAGACUUGAGUGCAGAAGAGGGGAGUGGAAUUCCAUGUGUAGCGGUGAAAUGCGUAGAUAUAUGGGGGAACACCAGAGGCGAAGGCGGCUCUCUGGUCUGUAACUGACGCUGAGGCUCGAAAGCGUGGGGAGCAAACAGG